UUUGUGAGACUAGUAUAAGUCCAGUGAUUGGCCUCUGGUAUCAUUGUUUUUGUUUUAGGAGAUUGGUAUAAGUCCAGUGAUUGGCAUCCGGUAUCCAUCUUUGUUAGCUUUGUCUGAUACAUUGUUCAUUUGCUUAUUGCAUUGUUGCCUAUUCCAAAGGAAUCACUUGAAUCAUCUUCCAUAUGAUUUCAAGAGGUGAACAUCUAAGAAGUUUUAC
rnacentral:lncRNA from 1 species